rnacentral:lncRNA from 13 species
AUGAAGCAAGAGAUUGAGAGAUUGAGGCUAUGGCAGAAAGUCAUGGAGGAGCAGCGACCAAGACUGGCCUGGAACAACAAACCUAUUGAGACAGGAAGAGAGAGGGAAAAAGAGAGAGAAAGGGAGAUGGAAAGUGAGAGAAAAGCAGAAUUGGAAAAACAAGAAAUGAAGAAGAAAGUGGAACAGGCAGAAGAAACGAUAAAAGCGUUAGAACGAGAGAUUGAGAGAUUGAAAGAGAUUGAGAAGGAAAUCAUAUUUGAAAGAGAAAGAGACAUGCGUAUUGCAGAGAAUGAGAAAGUCAAACUGGUCAACGAAAAGGUAAAAGAGUUGGAGAGAGAGGUUGAGAGACUGAAAGAAGAUAUGACAACAAAAGAGAUUCAAUACAAAAUCAAAUUUGAAAGAGCGAAAGAAGCGUUUAGAAGACAGAAUGAGAGAGUGAAACAGGUUAACCAAAAUGUACUAGUGUUAGACAGAGAGGUUGUGAGAAUGAAAGAAGAGAUUAGAUUGAAAGACGAGACUGAACCAGAGAGAACAUUUGAUAGAGACAGAGAGAGAGAAAAUGAUUGGAGACGAAGUGAAGAGGAGUUGAAAAAUAGAGUGGAGAGAGAGAUGGAGAUGGAGACAGCCCUCAUCAAUGACAAAAAUACGUCUGAAUUGGAGGAAGUCUUCAAGAAAAUCAAGGAACAGCAGAUAGAAUUAGAAAAUAUGGAAACAGACAAAUAUAAAUGGAAACAGAACCAAAUGGACAUGGAGGAGAAGAUGGAGGGUGAGCACAACAAACAGAAAGAGGUAGAAAGAAAGAGAAUGGAGAAAAUACCAAAACAGAGACAAGAAGAAGAUGAGAAGAAGAAGGAGAUGGAGAGAGAAGAAGAAGAGGAGAGACGCAAACAGAAGCACAUAGAGAUGGAAGAGGAAGAAAGAGAGAGGGAGAAAGAGAGACAGAGACAGAUCAAAAGGAAGAGAAUGGAGAAGAGACAGAAAAUUAUGGAAAGAGAAGAAGAGAGACAGAGAGAGAUUGAAAGAGANNNNNNNNNNGAAGAAGAAAGAUGUAAACAGAAGCAAAUAGAGAUGGAAGAGGAAGAAAGAGAGAGGGAGAAAGAGAGACAGAGAGAGAUCAAAAGAAAGAUAAUGGAAAAGAGACAAAAACAUAUCGAAAGAGAAGAAGAGAGACAGAAAGAGAUUGAAAGAGAGCACGAAGAAGAAAGAUGUAAACAGAAGAAAAUAGAGAUGGAAGAGAAAGAAAGAGAAGAAGAGAGACAGAGAGAGAUUGAAAGAGAGCACGAAGAAGAAAGAUGUAAACAAAAGCAAAUAGAGAUGGAAGAGGAAGAACGAGAGAGGGAGAAGAGACAGAGAGAGAUCAAAAGAAAGAUAAUGGAAAAGAGACAAAAACAUAUCGAAAGAAAAGAAGAGAGACAGAAAGAGAUUGAAAGAGAGAAUGAAGAACAACUAUUUAAACAGAAGCAAAUAGAGAUGGAAGAGGAAGAAAGAGAAGAAGAGAGACAGAGAGAGAUCAAAAGAGAGAAUGAUGAAGAAAUAUGUAAACAGAAGCAAAUAGAGAUGGAAGAGAAAGAAAGAGAAGAAGAGAGACAGAGAGCGAUCGAAGAGAAAGAGAGACAGAGAGAGAUGGGAGAGAAAGAAAGACGACAACAACAAGAGGAGAGAAAGAUAAUGUUUGAGAGAGAUCAAGAAGAAGAAAAUAUAUGGAAACAGAAGCAAAUUGACAUGGAGAAGGAGGGAAGAGAGAGGGAGAACAAGAGACAGAGAGAGAUAGAAGAGAUACACAGACGACAACAACAAGAGGAGAGACAGAAACAAAUGGAGAAGGAGAAAGACAAUGACAAUCAGAGAGAGAUGGAAUUAAAAGAUCAGCAACAGAAAGAGAUGGAGAAAGAAAAGAUGAUUAUGAGAGAAAGGGAGGAAGCAGGAAGAAGAAAGGAAGGGCAGAAAAAUAUUUUGGGGGAAAUUGAGGGACAGAAUGAACUGGAGAUAGAACAGGAGAGAGAGAUGGAAGAAAAGCAGGAAGUGAUUAAGGAAGCAGAGGAAGAGUACAGGGAAAGAGAAGAGAGAGGAAAGGAAGUAAGCAUGAAGAAACAUGUAGUAGUUAAUGUUAAAGCAAAAGCACGGGAAGUCUUCAAUAGGCGUAAAGAGAGGAGGUUAGAAGUGUUGAAGGGGGAGCGAGAACACAUAGAAAGAGGACAACAAAUCAGGAGGGAGAAGGAGGAAAGACGGCUGGAGAUGGAAAGAAAACAGGAGAGGGCAAGACAACAAGAGGAGCAGGAUAAAAAACGAGAGAUUGAAAUUGCUAGACAGAAAGAAAUGUUGAGACUAAGAGAGGAGGAGAGGCAGAGAGAGGAAGAGAGAGAGGAGGAGAGAAAGAAAGCCAUUAAAUGCCUUUUAUCUUUAAUCAGAGAGAGAGAAGAAAUAAUACAGGCAAAAAAAAGAGAGGAGAUGGUGGAAGAGGAAAGAAGGGAGAUCCUUGAGUACAAGAGGGGUGAGUUAGAGGAGGAGGAGAAGGAAGAUGACAAGGAGGACAUUCUCCCACUUGAUAAAAGUAUCCGAAGGAGAGCUGUGGGCUGGGUAAACAAGAAGUGGGAGAAGAGGAACAUCAGAAAGAUAGAGAGAACGUAUCAGAGAGAGGCUGAGGAGGGCCAUAAGAUCGUCCACAUAGCCAUCCCUGGACACACAAGGCUAACAUCCACCAUGACCCGGGCAGAGAGAGAGAGGGAGAAGAGGAAGGAGCUGCUGAAGGCUGAGGAGAGAAGGAAGAAGAUGGAGGAUUUCAAUAAGCAGUGGAGAGAGCGGUCCCUGCUUAAAAAACAGACUCAUCAACAACUGAAGGAGGAGAGGGAGAGGAUGAAGGAAAACUACCUGGAGCAGAUGAAUCUGGAGGCUGAUGCUCAAAUCAACACCCGGUGUCUAACCACCCAACACAGCCACGAUUACAACCACGGUCAGGAGUUGCCCGGGUGGGCCAAUGGCCAACAAGUAAGCCAAGAGCCAACUGGAUCUGCUGAUGGCCACCAGGAAAGGCCAAGGAGGCAACAGGCAUGGGCAGAGAACCAGGAGGGGAGUUCAGAGAACCAGCAGGAGGGGCCAGAGAACCAUCAGGGGGGGCCAGACAGCCAGCAGCUAGAAGCUCCAGAAGAGGUUGAAAAAUCAGAGCGAAUCUCCAAGACAAAGAAAAAGCCAAGCAUCUGGAAGAAAAUUAGGAUGAGGUAAAGAAUGUUUAAANNNNNNNNNNCAUAUAAGCAGACAAUGAAAGCUCUUACAAUAUUUGAUGAUUACAUUUCUCUAAAACAGGCUAUAGUCUACAUGUACAAGACUCCCUAAAUUUUAUCAGCAUAUUGAUUGCGCAACCAGGGGUGGAAAGACCUUGGAUCAUUGUUACUCUAACUUCCGCGACGCAUAUAAGGCCCUGCCACGCCCCCCUUUCGGAAAAGCUGACCACGACUCCAUUUUGUUGAUCCCUGCCUACAGACAGAAACUAAAACAAGAGGCUCCCACGCUGAGGUCUGUCCAACGCUGGUCCGACCAAGCUGACUCCACACUCCAAGACUGCUUCCAUCACGUGGACUGGGACAUGUUUCGUAUUGCGUCAGACAACAACAUUGACGAAUACGCUGAUUCGGUGUGCGAGUUCAUUAGAACGUGCAUUGAAGAUGUCGUUCCCAUAGCAACGAUUAAAACAUUCCCUAACCAGAAACCGUGGAUUGAUGGCAGCAUUCGCGUGAAACUGAAAGCACGAACCACUGCUUUUAAUCAGGGCAAGGUGUCUGGUAACAUGACCGAAUACAAACAGUGCAGCUAUUCCCUCCGCAAGGCUAUCAAACAAGCUAAGCGUCAGUACAGAGACAAAGUAGAAUCUCAAUUCAAAGGCUCAGACACAAGAGGCAUGUGGCAGGGUCUACAGUCAAUCACGGACUACAGGAAGAAAUCCAGCCCAGUCACGGACCAGGAUGUCCUGCUCCCAGGCAGACUAAAUAACUUUUUUGCCCGCUUUGAGGACAAUACAGUGCCACUGACACGGCCUGCAACGAAAACAUGCGGUCUCUCCUUCACUGCAGCCGAGGUGAGUAAGACAUUUAAACGUGUUAACCCUCGCAAGGCUGCAGGCCCAGACGGCAUCCCCAGCCGCGCCCUCAGAUCAUGCGCAGACCAGCUGGCCGGUGUGUUUACGGACAUAUUCAAUCAAUCCCUAUACCAGUCUGCUGUUCCCACAUGCUUCAAGAGGGCCACCAUUGUUCCUGUUCCCAAGAAAGCUAAGGUAACUGAGCUAAACGACUACCGCCCCGUAGCACUCACUUCCGUCAUCAUGAAGUGCUUUGAGAGACUAGUCAAGGACCAUAUCACCUCCACCCUACCUGACACCCUAGACCCACUCCAUUUUGCUUACCGCCCAAAUAGGUCCAGAGACGAUGCAAUCUCAACCACACUGCACACUGCCCUAACCCAUCUGGACAAGAGGAAUACCUAUGUGAGAAUGCUGUUCAUUGACUACAGCUCGGCAUUCAACACCAUAGUACCCUCCAAGCUCGUCAUCAAGCUCGAGACCCUGGGUCUCGACCCCGCCCUGUGCAACUGGGUACUGGACUUCCUGACGGGCCGCCCCCAGGUGGUGAGGGUAGGCAACAACAUCUCCUCCCCGCUGAUCCUCAACACUGGGGCCCCACAAGGGUGCGUUCUGAGCCCUCUCCUGUACUCCCUGUUCACCCACGACUGCGUGGCCACGCACGCCUCCAACUCAAUCAUCAAGUUUGCGGACGACACAACAGUGGUAGGCUUGAUUACCAACAANNNNNNNNNNUUAGGGCCAGGUCAAUUCGGGAUGGGAAUUAUUGCACUUUAUUGACAAAUUCCAUGCCUUGCUCAACUGAAAAGAGUAAAGAAUCAUUGAGAUCCAAUUGUGUUUUCUAUUCUUCAUUCCCUGUGUCCAUUACAUUUAAGUUGAUACCAGAUCCACUAAGAUGAAUGUGAACUCUACUUCUUCUCCCCUCCCAGCCAUCCCUGGACACACAAGGCUAACAUCCACCAUGACCCGGGCAGAGAGAGAGAGGGAGAAGAGGAAGGAGCUGCUGAAGGCUGAGGAGAGAAGGAAGAAGAUGGAGGAUUUCAAUAAGCAGUGGAGAGAGCGGUCCCUGCUUAAAAAACAGACUCAUCAACAACUGAAGGAGGAGAGGGAGAGGAUGAAGGAAAACUACCUGGAGCAGAUGAAUCUGGAGGCUGAUGCUCAAAUCAACACCCGGUGUCUAACCACCCAACACAGCCACGAUUACAACCACGGUCAGGAGUUGCCCGGGUGGGCCAAUGGCCAACAAGUAAGCCAAGAGCCAACUGGAUCUGCUGAUGGCCACCAGGAAAGGCCAAGGAGGCAACAGGCAUGGGCAGAGAACCAGGAGGGGAGUUCAGAGAACCAGCAGGAGGGGCCAGAGAACCAUCAGGGGGGGCCAGACAGCCAGCAGCUAGAAGCUCCAGAAGAGGUUGAAAAAUCAGAGCGAAUCUCCAAGACAAAGAAAAAGCCAAGCAUCUGGAAGAAAAUUAGGAUGAGGUAAAGAAUGUUUAAAUAUCUAUUCAUGUUUUACACUGUUAAUAUACAUGUCAUCACUUUAAAAAGUGACAUUAUCCAAAUGUGAGGGUUUAGUGUACAUGCAUCACACAUGUAAAUAUAUAGAUACUUACCUGUCUCUGUGAUGUCUUACAGCAUUCUGCCUAGAGCUGGAACUCGAUGAAGCCACAGUUCCACUGAGGUUACGUUGGUAAUUAAAAGUGUCGCCCAAUAAUUCCUCCUCCUCUUUAAGUCAUCGAGCCACAUUUCUUCCUCAAAACAUUAUAGUCUCCUCAAGCCAGCAAGUAUCCUCUUUAUCAGGCAACAAACCAUCGAAGGUCAGUGACCCUCCUCCCAAGAACAGAGACUCUCAUCUGUAUCCUAGUUAAAUUCAUCUCUGCUUACCACCUCUACAGUCCUAGAAAAUAUCCCAAAAAUGGAAAUGGUUUCAACAGAAGUCCUCCCCUCAGACCAGUGGCUCCACAGACCAGAGUUUCUCAUCUUUAUUCAAGUUGAAUGCAACUCUGAUCAUUUCCACCACCUCUCCUGUUAAGGGGAGGUGCUGAAAAGGAGGUCUGGGAGGAGGUCUGCAGGUAGCCUGGACCAGACCGGUAGCAGCUAAGUUGCUGGCUCCAUCCCCGGGCAGAGCUGCUCAAGUCAGGCCAGUGAUGUUUGAUGAUGUCAUUUUUGUUAGCAAAGUUUUACUCUUUAAUAAAAACAUUUAGUAAAAAAGCAAUAUUGUUGUUACGGUGUGGAUUGUUUUGUUAUUUAUUAGAAUUGAAACAUCCAGUAGUCAUGGUAGAUGUUAGACUUUCAAUGAGACACCUAACAUUCCAUCAGUUUGAUACAAUGUGUGACAUGUUAUAUUAGAGAGGAGUCCUCUAUACACAUCUAUUUUAGACCAUAAGAGAAAUAUCAGAUUGAAAUAGCUUCUCUAAGAAUCUGAGGAGAGAGCAACAGUAGACACAUCGUUAGCUCUCCCACCUCCAGUUCAGUACUCGGGUCAUUCCACCAAUUGAGUACCUUUUGGGGGAUGUAACUUUAUAUUUCACCUAAUUCUAACAUUCUGUCAUAAAGAGCACAUGUUCAACUUAAUAUAAAACAUGUUUUCCAUCUCAAAGUAACAAAUACAUACUAUAGUAAGUGCCUAUUAAGUGCCAAAUAAAGUGACAGGGUUGACUGUAACAGAGUUGACUAUUUCAUCUAGAAUCAACCAUAGAUCCCCAUGUGACAGGGGGAAUGGAAUGCAAGCUUACCAAACACAUGUAAAUAGUUUAAACAUGUCUAGACUGUCUAUCUAUAGGUAACAGGGUUGAUGUGUUAUAAUUCACCCACCCAGUGGUGAUUGCAGCAUGUACAUCUUGGUGGGGAAAACUCCCCCAAAAUGUUUUAGAUGAAUGCCAGCAAAGCCACUACACAACACAACACUAAACAAUACAUUAAUUGCACUAUAAAUUUAACAAACGGUGCCCACAAACUGUUAGGGUCGACAUAAAGCUGUCCCAACAGCAGAGCUUUCUUUUCAGCACCAUGGAGAGAAUCCUUUUUAAAAAACAUAGCUGAUAUGGCUGACUUGCUUAAACAAAUGUGGUUUCUACUGACAAUUGAGAUGUACAAACUAUGGCACAAGGGGACAACGAGUGGACUACAGGAUAUCUGUAAUUUAGAUUAAGACAAUGAGAGACCUAGGAUGGACGUCGUCAAUAUAACUAUUUGUUCAGCACUUUUGAAAUGUACAGCGACAGAAUUUUGAACAUGGGCCAUUCUUACAGUAUUCUCCCUGUACACCAAGUCAUAACUACAUAUAAGCAGACAAUGAAAGCUCUUACAAUAUUUGAUGAUUACAUUUCUCUAAAACAGGCUAUAGUCUACAUGUACAAGACUCCCUAAAUUUUAUCAGCAUAUUGAUUGCGCAACCAGGGGUGGAAAGACCUUGGAUCAUUGUUACUCUAACUUCCGCGACGCAUAUAAGGCCCUGCCACGCCCCCCUUUCGGAAAAGCUGACCACGACUCCAUUUUGUUGAUCCCUGCCUACAGACAGAAACUAAAACAAGAGGCUCCCACGCUGAGGUCUGUCCAACGCUGGUCCGACCAAGCUGACUCCACACUCCAAGACUGCUUCCAUCACGUGGACUGGGACAUGUUUCGUAUUGCGUCAGACAACAACAUUGACGAAUACGCUGAUUCGGUGUGCGAGUUCAUUAGAACGUGCAUUGAAGAUGUCGUUCCCAUAGCAACGAUUAAAACAUUCCCUAACCAGAAACCGUGGAUUGAUGGCAGCAUUCGCGUGAAACUGAAAGCACGAACCACUGCUUUUAAUCAGGGCAAGGUGUCUGGUAACAUGACCGAAUACAAACAGUGCAGCUAUUCCCUCCGCAAGGCUAUCAAACAAGCUAAGCGUCAGUACAGAGACAAAGUAGAAUCUCAAUUCA